UACGUAGGGUGCAGGCGUUAAUCGGAAUUACUGGGCGUAAAGCGUGCGCAGGCGGUUUGCUAAGACAGGUGUGAAAGCCCCGGGCUAACCUGGGAAUGGCCGUUGAAACUGGCGAACUGGAGUGUGGCAGAGGGGGGUGGAAUUCCGCGUGUAGCAGUGAAAUGCGUAGAGAUCGGGAGGAACACCAGUGGCGAAGGCGGCUACCUGGACCAGCACUGACACUGAGGCACGAAAGCGUGGGGAGCAAACAGGG
rnacentral:rRNA from 1 species